CCCUCCCCUCUCCUCCCCUCCCCUCCCCUCUCUGUUGCCUGGUGCAUCUGAGCCCAUCUAUUGUCACAAUGUUGAUGUCUGGGCUAGCUCUAUAUCAGUAUACUACAAGGCAGGUCAACAAGGUAGCCCUAACUGGAAAAUGCCUCAUGACACUGAGUUGUAGGCAAGUCUGUAGAGCAUUUUCCUAAUUAGUGAUUGGUGGGGGAGGGCCCAGCCACUGCAAGUGGUGCCAUCCCUGGGCUGGUGGUCCUGGGUUCAUAGAAACCAGGCUGAGCAAACCAUAAGGAACCAACCAGUAAACAGCCCCCCUCCCUGCAUCAGCUUCACACCCCAGGUUCCUGGAGCCCAGUUUGAGUUCUUGCCGGGACUCUCUUCAGUGGUUGCCUGUAAUCAUGAAGAGUGAUAAACCCGCUACCCCUCAUGUUCCCUUUGCCCAUCGUGUGUCAUCACACCAACAGGGACCUAAGAGACCCUACUCACUGUUUUUCCGUAUGAACUAGAGAAAGGAAGGGCUUCACCGUAAGACGCUGUUCCUGCCUUAGACAGAUAAUGGUCACUAGGCCGAAAAGGGAAAUGAUGGAUGAAUGCCUCCCUCCCUCCUUUCGUACUUUCUCUCUGAGGCAGGGUCUCAGGUAGCCUAGGCUGACCUCCCGCUUGUUAUGUAGCUGAGCAGGACCCUGAGCUCCUAUGUCUCCUGUGUCAGCUCUCAAGUCACUGGAACUUGCCGUGUCCCUCUCCUGGCUUGUGGGCCACACCCCAGCUGUGUUAGGGUGUGUGGGUCCCCAAUCCUGCUCCCCCCAUUCUUUCAUACCUGCCUUCUGCCCUUGUAACUUCCCCCAGAUGGAAAACAAGCAAGCAAACAAAAAGAAUUAGAAAACGUAAUUAAAGAUCUCUCUGUGGGAGCUGCAUUCCGUCCAGUGUUUCUCACAGUCUGCCCUUGUGCCCGCACUUACCGCAAGUGUUCAUUGUGAUGGUCGUUGGUCUGGUUCGAGGCCUCUGACUCCUGCUGCACUGUCAGUACUGGACCCUCCCUGGGACUUCUCUACACUCCCAGGGGUAGCCUGUCGUUGCCCUGUGUCAUGGAGACCCUGUAGCUCUGGUUCUGCAGAACCAGCCCCUUCGUGUGCUCCGGCAGUUCACAGAUGGGGUAGAUGCUGGUGUGGGCCAGUCCACAGCCCUGGGUCUGGGCUCUGUUUUUGACAAAGGGUGAUGUAAUUGGGACUCUUUUGUUUUGUAACUCAGUCACUCAUAUCUUCUAUUUCUUCUCAUACAUUAGCUUCAAGAUAAAAGCUACCCAAGCUGAGCCAGGGGCUGUGCACUGUGAGUCCAGCUUUGGGGAGGUUCAAGGGCAAUCUGGGAUGCGUACUGAGACCCUGUCCUAAACCAAACCUAUUCAUCUGGCCAAAUGUGUCACUCAGUUCUCAAAACGUGAAAGAACGGUUUCCCUGCAGGCUUACAAGCAGUGUUUCCAGGCUCAUUAGGUAGAAGCCUUUUUGGUGAAGAGUCCAUUCCAGAAGGUUCCAGCAUGAGAUUAGCAACAGCAAACAGCAGCCCAGAAUCACAGCAGCCUCCCUUUGGAGUCCUUCACUUUAUGGCUGCACAGUUCCCCAGCAGGCGUGAGAACAUCGCUGCCGUUUUCAAUUUGUAUUUAAUUUAAUUUAUGUGCAUGCAUACAUGGUGAGUGUGUGUGUGUGUGCGCGCACACGCCCAUGGUGUUCAGAGGAUAACCGUCAGGAGUCUGUUCCCACCUUCUUCCAUGUGGUCUUCAAGGCUCAAACUUGAGGGGCAGGGGUUAGGGUUAGCUGCAAACACCACCCAUCCAGCCUGUGAAGGGUCCAUUUUCAAUCCUACAAGGUCAUUUGUAUUAUCUUUGCAGUUAAUAUCCUACUUCUCAAGUGCCUGGUUAUUUAUUUUAAACAUAUGCCUUUAAAUUUUAAAAGAUCAUGUUAUGUGUAUAAGUGUUUUGCCUGCUUGCACAUCUGUGUACUGUGUGCGUGCCUGGCGCCCACAGAAGUCAGAAGUGGGUGUCGGCUCCCUUGGAAGAGUACAGAUGGCUGUGAGCCACCACGUGGGCACUGGGAAUUGAACUGAGGUCCUCUGGAAGAGCAACCUGUGGUCGUAACCUCCAAACUUUCUCUCAAGCUCCGUAUAUGAGCUAAUGACACAUGGAAAAGCCUGGAAGCAAGAUCCUUCUGGAAGCCUGAACUGGGAAGCUAGAGCAGAGGAAAGAGCAAACUUCCUAUGUGUAGGAAGCAUGUCACCCAGGGAAACGGAGGAUGCAAAGAGGAGAAGCGGGGAUGGGGGUGUCCACAGGUUAGAGCGCACCAAUGCAAGAAGGGAGAAACAGCCGAUGUGACCCUGCCAGGGAGCCAGGCAUCUUCCCUGCCUCGUGGUCUUCCUCUGGCCGAGUUGCCAUCAGCAAGCAGUCCGUUUCAGGGAAGCCCCGGCUAUGUUCUGAUCUGUGUUGGCAGGAGAUCGACAGGGCUCUGUGUUCCCAGUAAAUCCUAGGACAGAAUCCCCACCUCUGGGGCAGCGUCUGUCACUGAGCUAGAAGGAUGCUGAAGCCUCACAAAGCAGCCCUCUGCGCCUGAAUGCUGUUGCAAAGUGGAGCUGGAAACAACCUUGCAGGCUGGAGCUCCGGACUCGGCACAAAUCUGUCAUCAAAUCCAUGGCAAGUUUCCCUGGCUUACUCAAGUCACGUGUACGGAACCUCAGCCCACAGUCGGCCAGCCACAGUUUGCCGCUUUAGUACACCACUAAGCGAAAUAUACCAAAGCAACAGGAGUCUACGGGAUGGAUUAGUCUGUUCCAGUUGAAUUUUAUCCUAGCUCUGUCUUCAUAGCAGCUUACAUCUUUCAAAAAAAUGCAUUAUUUUCCAAAUUAUAGAAUACGAAUACGAUACUGAAGUUUGGGACUGGAUAGCUGGCUCAGCAGAUAAGAACACUGGUUGCUCUUCCAGAGGAACAGGGUUCAUUCCCAGCACCCACAAGGCAGCUCACAACCAUCUGUAUCUUCAGUUCUGGGGAUAUGAUGUCUCUUCUGGGCUCCACAGGCAUGGCACACACACGGCACACGGACAUACAUGUAGGCAAAAACCCACACACACAAGACAAAUAGAUCUUUUUUUUUUUAAGGAUACGGAAUUCUAAAACGAUGAGCAGAAUAGGAAAGUGUAUUAACCAUGUCUCUGCUUACUGUGUAUCCAUGGCACAUCUGGCAGCUGCUCAAAUCGACUCCUGUGAUUGACAGUUCUCAGGGAUUUAUAUUAGCAUGUGUCAUGGUUUGAUCCCAUUCCAACAGUAGGUAGAACAGUAGGUAGUUUGAGUUUCAAAUACCUUAAUGAUCCUGCUCAUCUCUCAGUUCCAUGAGACAAGCAGAGCAGCUGAACCUGAAAGGGCUCCUGGGAGCCCAGUCUCUAGCCGGCCCAUGAGGAGCGUAACUGGCUGAGAACACAGGGCUAUCAUUUAUUUAUUUCCUCCUGUCUUCUCAGCAGUGCCCAGUGCCGCUACCGUCUCGUCACAGGUUUCCUUUAUACAAGCUAAUCUGGAUCUUUUAAAAGCAGGUCCCACAGACAGGAACGCUGGCCCAGCGUGUGGAGGGUGAACAGAGGCCUCGAGGCUGAGCCUGACAGUGAUGCCCAGCACUGGCUCACCUCAUCCCUUCAAGGCUGCACAGGACGCCCGAGAGCACAAUGGGGCUGGCAGCUCAGUGGAUUGCCUGGCACAUGCGAGGUUUGACACUCAGCUCCAAAACCACAGGGUAACGUCAGAGGGUCGAGGCCAGCAAGAGCAACCCCACUCACCCUGCUGGAACAGUUCCUUUCUCCAGUCUGGAAGAGAGCAGAGAAGAUGGCUGAGCCCAGAGACUGAAAGAGACAGGCACCCCUCCCCUCCCCUCCCUUUCUCUCCCCCUCCCCUUCUCUCUCCUCCUCUCCCCUCCUUUCCCCUCCCCUCCCUUCCCUCCUCUCCCCUUCCAUCCUCUCCCUUCUCUCCUGUCCCCUGAUUGUUUGGCUCCCCAACACAAAUGAUCACAGCUCGCUGGGUGAGGUGGUGUGUGCCUGAAAUCUUAGCAUUUGGAAGGGGGAGGCAGGAGGCCCAGGAGCUCAAACCCAGGCUUGGCUACCGAGCAAGUGGGCCAGCCUCCAUUGUGUGAGGCCCUGUCUCAAAAAACUGUGCUGUUGUUUUGUUUUCUUCAGUUUGCAAGUUGACAGCCAUUAAAGUGUGCGUGUGAGA